GAGCAGCAUGGCGGCGGGCAGGGUCCGGGUCCCGGCAGCGGCGGCAGCGGCCUCGUCGCCGCUCUUGUCUGCGUGCGAUCGUCCAGAGCCAGACCAGGGGAAAUCCAGGGAGGACUGCUGGGAUGCCUUCCGUCUUCUCCCUGCGAGCCAGGAACUCGAUCGUCCGACGAUGUGCGAGGCUGCGUGACCGCUCGAAGCAGACCGGUGUGCUGGAAUAGCCCGGAGGACGGGCUCUCUCUCGUGCUCUAGCACAGGAAGAGCCGUGGGAAGCCUGAAGAAAUUUGGGAUUAGAGCUCGGAGGAAAGGUUCCUUCCCGGCAGCUCUUCCGCAGCAGAAAAAAGGCCACUUUUGUCAA